rnacentral:misc_RNA from 1 species
GAUGAAGAACGUAGCGAAAUGCGAUAAGUAGUGUGAAUUGCAGAAUUCAGUGAAUCAUCGAAUCUUUGAACGCACAUUGCGCCCUUCGGUAUUCCGUUGGGCAUGCCUGUUCGAGCGUCAUUUAAACCUUCAAGCUCUGCUUGGUGUUGGGCGUUUGUUCCGCCUCCGCGCGUGGACUCGCCUCAAAUUCAUUGGCAGCCGGUCAGUUGGCUUUUCGUGCGCAGCACAUUGCGUAGCGGCUCCAGCUUGCCUCCUACCAUUAAGCUACUCUACAUCUUUUGACCUCGGAUCAGGUAGGGAUACCCGCUGAACUUAAGCAUAUCAAUAAGCCGGAGGA